GGGGGUGACAUGGCUUCGACGCCGGUUAUGAAUCCCGAAGGGGCAUGCGGAGAGGGUGACAUCUCUCGUUAAUCAAAGUCACAAGCAACAUAGUCGCAAACGACGAAAACUACGCACUGGCAGCCUAAUACCCUGCCUACGACCGAACCUGCCUGCCCAUGGGCGGGGGACGUCGGCGCAAAAAACAUGGGAUCGC
rnacentral:tmRNA from 1 species